GGCCCCCCCCCUCCCCCAUUUGUAAUAGCACAGCAGAUUUGCCUGCUGCUCCAGCUUCUUCCAGCUGCCUGUGGGAUUCCUGAGGAGGAAAGGCCAUGCUUCCCACCUCUUUUGUAGAGCUGUGAAUACCUGUGUGUGUUGGUUCAACAGCAAACAUCUGCAGCUUCCCCCUCUCCCGUGGCAGAGCUGUAUCGUGCAUGGCAGGAGCAGCAUGGAGCAGGUGGAUGGGCUGCCUGGUCCCUUGCCAGGCACGCAGAAAAGAUGAGUUACUCAGCGUGCUGCUUGCAUUUGACAUGCGGUAGACUCCACAGUAGGGAAGACUGAUGUUCUCCAUCCAUCCUGGAUCAGCCUCUUGGGAGCAAGGAGCAUGCUGGACGGACUGAUGGUGCUUCUCAGCUUGUCAAGGGAUGGAGAAACUUAAGGAAAAUGGUGGAGGAAAAAAGUCAAGGCUGGACAGAAAAGGCAAAAUGAGCAGUUGGUGUGAGAAGACAAAGGGAGCUUUGCCAGAGGCUCACUAGGACCUGUCUUGUGUCCCAUCCAGUUGGUGGCUUGGACUCUCUGCCUUUUCUACCUCCAUCAAAACCCACUGAACUGCUUUCUGAGGAUUCUGAGUGGACUGAAACAGCCUCUUGGAACAGCUUUGUUAGCCGAACACAGAAUUAAACUCAUUAUUUUUACUGUGAAUAUUUAAACCGUGUGCUGAAGGUGCCCGUGGUGUUUUCCCUGUAUUGCAAAUCCACCAGGAGCAGCCCCUCAGGCUGCUUGGCUGCCCAGCUGCCCUCUCCCCAGGGGAUUUGUG